AAGAAAUCUUGUCUUCGUCGUUGUGAGGUGUACUUGUCUUGUGGGGCCAACCUAAUACAAGUUAUAACAGCCAAACUUCCUGUUUAAAAAGAUGCUGAAGUUUGUCACCUAAUGCAUAUGAGAACAAUUUUAUCCUAAGGACACAUGGUGGGGGGGACAAAUGUGGCUAAUCAAGACAUGCUACGUUGUGGAGGAUGAUAAUGAGGACCAGGUACCAGAGGAAGAAGUCUCUGUUUGACCAAAGAGAAAGAAGCAGAUGAAAUAUUCCCCAAUAAAAUUAUUUAAGUCAUUUUUGUGUUACUAUUUUCUCCAGGUGAAGGAGGAUGAAAGGGAAAGGUAAGUGGGGAAUAAGGAGAGCAAUACGGUAAUCAACAUUCACCGGCUGAGUUAUUAAGUUACGUUUAGACAACUAUUGUUGUCAAAUGUAAAACUGGUGUUUAAUCUAAUUAUUUAUUAAUAAACCUCUUGAAAACAUCGACAAGCCAGAGUAUCUGGUUGGAAAUAAUUUUGAAUGCUCAUUAAGUGAAAAGAUACACUCAUGUGCCUAAAACUAUACAUUAAAUGAUGCAUUUUGAACAACAGUGGCAGUCUGUAUGAACUUCUGCCAAACUUGAUCAGAAUAAUUUUGUUCAGCUCUAGUCAUUAUGCUUCUUGUAUUAAAAAAAUCAUUAUAUUAGACUUUAUAACAACCAGUCAUGUCAACUCAACCUUUGUCUGCCAGUCUACUAUUCUGACAAUGUGCAGCAAGGGAGAUUCUUGGAAUGGUACUUAAAUAAAUGCUGAAUUAAGAUAACAUUGUUUUUUAUUUGUUUUUGUUUCUUUUUUUAAGUGACCACAGUGGAUUGAGUCAUCACCCACUAUGAGAAUGUCCAGAAGAGAUUGACCAAGUUUGAAUUCAUGAAGAGGCUUUCACCAUGAUUAACAUUGACCACAACCAUUGCAAGAACAGCUAUAAUUUCUGAGCAUUUCCGGACACUUUCAAAGAACUGUUUCCAGGAAAGAAGAUCUCCCUGUUUUCAGAGCAUUACAGGAAGGCUAUAACAAAGGAGAUGGCUGACGCAAUCAAAGCAAAAAAAUAAAAAGAUGUUAGGACUGUUGAAAGAACCUUUUUUCAUAAGUUAAAGAA